UCAGAAAAUAGUUUAUAUAAAACAUUAAUUUUGGAUAUUAAAAAUAAUUCUUUUUUC
rnacentral:tRNA from 1 species